UGGCUGUUCUUGUUUUAGUGGAAGACAUUGAAAACCGUGCUUUUAGAAGGAAGAGAGUUUUCAGGGACCGGAAUGACUUUAUUUGCGCAUUAUGAUCCAUGGUUUAUACAUCGCUAUAGACUCCCAAGAAAUGUUCGGAUUAAGCCCCUAAUCUGGAAAGGAAGACACCUGUAAUCAUACCAUACCCGUAUCUAUCCAAGUACUGUCCACUCUGUCCCUACUGUCCACUCUGGGAUUCCUCGCUACUGGGACAUUCCAGGGGGAAAUUAGUGACAGGUCGGGUAUAUCACAGCCACCAUUCAGCCGCAUCCUGCCACAAGUGAUCGAGGCGAUUCUACACAUAGUCCACGAGAUACAUUACAUACACUAGUUUCCCAUUUUACAGCCGACGAACAGGCGCGCGUCAAAGUCGAGUUUGUCCGCUCAUUUAAUUUCCCAUGGGUCAUCGGUGCAGUUGCCUGCACGCAUAUUGCCUUACGCUCACCGCUUGUAGAUGUACAUGUGGACGUUAACAGGAAGAAUUUCCAUUCAUUGAAUGUUCAGAUCUGCGAUGCCCGUAUGCAACUACUCAAUGUGGCCAGGGUCUACCCACUACUCAAACGUCCAACAAUUGAAUUAUGACUUCGGCGGUCAACACAGGACAUGGACACAAAUGUGGAUGGACCCUCGGCACCUGUGGUCAAACAUUCCCCUUCACUCCUGGUACCUGCUGAUUUGGGAGCAUCACGCACUUUAUCCCACCGAGCAAGCAGUAACAUCGGAAACGGUUAAAUUGGCUUGCGAAACCACCACGACUGGAUCACGAAACGCUGGAAGCUGCGUUGCAGCCUGUGCGCCCUCCACCCAGAGAUAACGACCGAGGAGGAAGGGACCUGGCAGAAAAGUCUGCUUCUUCAGUCAUGAAAUUAGAGGGAAAAACAACGUGAUGAAGGGGUCAGGACUGACGAACAAGGAAGACAGGUGGAUGGAUCAAGAUAACCAAGAGGAUCAACACGGACAUUCCAGAGAAGCAGAGUGAAGAUAAGGAAAACUAAGAAUGAACCAUAACAUAGUAUUUACUGUGUGUGUUAUAUAUAUAUAUAAAUAUAUUAGUAUUGAAAGAUACCAGAGGGUCGGUAACAAAAAAAGCACUAAUUUAAGAAGUGGACUGUACAUGUUUGGUUUUUGGCCUAAAUGUAUACAUUAUAAUUGACCUCUGAACUGUAUGUGAACCCCUCUGCAAUCUACUGGCACUAACCAUUAAAAACUAGGACUUCAA